UGGGGAAUAUUGGACAAUGGGCGCAAGCCUGAUCCAGCAAUGCCGCGUGUGUGAAGAAGGCCUUCGGGUUGUAAAGCACUUUUAUCAGGAGCGAAACGCUGUCGGCUAAUACCCGGCGGAACUGACGGUACCUGAGGAAUAAGCACCGGCUAACUUCGUGCCAGCAGCCGCGGUAAUACGAAGGGUGCAAGCGUUAAUCGGAAUUACUGGGCGUAAAGCGUGCGUAGGCGGUUUGUUAAGUCUGCUGUGAAAUCCCCGGGCUCAACCUGGGAAUGGCAGUGGAUACUGGCAAGCUAGAGUGUGUCAGAGGGUGGUGGAAUUCCCGGUGUAGCGGUGAAAUGCGUAGAGAUCGGGAGGAACAUCAGUGGCGAAGGCGGCCACCUGGGACAACACUGACGCUGAGGCACGAAAGCGUGGGGAGCAAACAGG
rnacentral:rRNA from 1 species